rnacentral:rRNA from 1 species
UACGAAGGGGGCUAGCGUUGUUCGGAAUUACUGGGCGUAAAGCGUAUGUAGGCGGAUCGUUAAGUCGGGGGUGAAAUCCCGAGGCUCAACCUCGGAACUGCCUUUGAUACUGGGGAUCUCGAGUCCGGGAGAGGUGAGUGGAACUGCGAGUGUAGAGGUGAAAUUCGUAGAUAUUCGCAAGAACACCAGUGGCGAAGGCGGCUCACUGGCCCGGAACUGACGCUGAGGUGCGAAAGCGUGGGGAGCAAACAGG